rnacentral:rRNA from 1 species
GAACGCUGGCGGCGUGGCUAAGACAUGCAAGUCGAACGGACUGUUCAAUUUAUUGUUCAGUUAGUGGCGUAAGGGUUAGUAACGGAUAGGUAACGUACCCUGUGCUUUGGGAUAGCGUCAGUUACUUCGGUAACUUUCCGAAAGGGGCGGUAAUACCAGAUAAUAUCAUUUGUCGAUAGGCAGAUGAUCAAAGAUUUAUCGGCAUAGGAGCGGCCUGUUUCCUAUCAGCUUGUUGGUGAGGUAAUGGCUCACCAAGGCAACGACGGGUAGCGGGACUGAGAGGUUGGCCCGCAACAUCGGGACUGAGACACUGCCCGGACCUCCACGGAGGGCUGCAGUAACGGAUAUUGUGCAAUGGGCGAAAGCCUGACACAGCGACGCCGCGUGUAGGAGGAAGUCUUUCGGGAUGUAAACUACUGUCAGGGGGAAGAAAGUGCGCUCCGGCGUAUUGAUCUAACCCAGAGGAAGUCACGGCUAACUUCGUGCCAGCAGCCGCGGUAAGACGAAGGUGGCAAGCGUUGUUCGGUAUUACUGGGCUUAAAGCGUGUGUAGGCGGAAAUGUAAGCGUUGCGUGAAAUCCCCCGGCUUAACCGGGGAACUGCGCAACGAACUGCGUUUCUUGAGGCAAGUAGGGGUGCAUGGAACUCUUGGUGGAGCGGUGGAAUGCGUAGAUAUCAAGAGGAACGCCAGUGGAGAAAUCGGUGCACUGGGCUUGUUCUGACGCUGAGACACGAAAGCGUGGGGAGCGAACGGGAUUAGAUAC